rnacentral:rRNA from 1 species
GACGAACGCUGGCGGCGUGCUUAACACAUGCAAGUCGAACGGAAAGGCCCUGCUUUUGUGGGGUGCUCGAGUGGCGAACGGGUGAGUAACACGUGAGUAACCUGCCCUUGACUUUGGGAUAACUUCAGGAAACUGGGGCUAAUACCGGAUAGGAGCUCCUGCUGCAUGGUGGGGGUUGGAAAGUUUCGGCGGUUGGGGAUGGACUCGCGGCUUAUCAGCUUGUUGGUGGGGUAGUGGCUUACCAAGGCUUUGCCGGGUAGCCGGCCUGAGAGGGUGACCGGCCACAUUGGGACUGAGAUACGGACCAGACGCCUACGGGAGGCAGCAGUGGGGAAUAUGGCACAAUGGGCGGAAGCCUGAUGCAGCAACGCCGCGUGCGGGAUGACGGCCUUCGGGUUGUAAACCGCUUUCGCCUGUGACGAAGCGUGAGUGACGGUAAUGGGUAAAGAAGCACCGGCUAACUACGUG